UACGGAGGGUGCAAGCGUUAUCCGGAUUCACUGGGUUUAAAGGGUGCGUAGGUGGGCAGGUAAGUCAGUGGUGAAAUCUCUGGGCUUAACCCAGAAACUGCCGUUGAUACUAUUUGUCUUGAAUAUCCUGGAGGUAGGCGGAAUAUGUCAUGUAGCGGUGAAAUGCUUAGAUAUGACAUAGAACACCGAUAGCGAAGGCAGCUUACUACAGGAUGAUUGACGCUGAGGCACGAAAGCGUGGGGAGCAAACAGG
rnacentral:rRNA from 1 species